rnacentral:rRNA from 1 species
GGGAGCGUGGGUGGAGGGGGCGGGGAGAUAGAGAGGGGGGAAGGUUGGAGUGGAAGGACUGGGCUGAAAGCGCGUGGAGGCGGCGGCGUAAGGCGUGUGUGAAAUCCCUCAGCUCAACUGAGGAAGUGCACUCGAGACUGUGGCGCUUGAAUGUCGGAGGGGAUGGCGGAAUUCCCGGUGUAGAGGUGAAAUUCGUAGAUAUCGGGAGGAACACCUGUGGCGAAGGCGGCCAUCUGGACGACGAUUGACGCUGAGACGCGAAAGCGUGGGUAGCAAACAGGAUUAGAUACCCCGGUAGUC